rnacentral:rRNA from 1 species
AUGCCGGCGGCGGCAGCGAUGCGGUCUGGCGUUGGCGCCGACGGAGUUCUCCUUGCCCAUCAAGCCCGUGUCUGGACCAAGCACGACACCACCUCGGUGUUGAACGCCGUGACAAUGCCCGCCCGGGCUCAAAUCACCCUCCCCCACGAGCUCCUCCUCGGCGCGCCGCCACCCACGCCCAGACCUCGCCGCCGCCCAUGGCCUCCGCAAAGGAAAAGAGAAGGGACGCAGGGAGAUCGAACCAGCAGAUCGAGCGGCGGCCAGAUCCAUCCGCCACGGUCGCCCAGGGCUGGCGCGCCUCCGACGACGUGGCCGUGCCCGUGCGUCAAGGGCCUGGUCGGAGAUGCUUCUGCUCCGCCAUGGCCAUGGAGCUUCCUCCCAAUCCAAGGUCUUGGACUGGACGGGGACGGCUGCUCUUCCAAUGGCACAAUGAUGAAUUUUACGGACGAUGCUCCUGUAAAGAAAGGCUCUGUUCUCUUAACAAGGAUGGAAAGUAUAACAGCAUACAAAAACCAACGUGGACAACCCAGAUCUGGAUGUCAUGAGCAUGGGCGUGAUGCCUUCGCUGCCGACUCCAUUGCAAUGUCCCAUGCAAUAUCUCUUGGUGCUGAUAUGUGA